AUGAGAACGGUCCAGAGGAGAAGCAAAGUGUGGAAGAAAUGGAAGGGCAGAGCCAAGAUGCAGGUAGGCUCAGAUUUCUUUUGAGAAGUCACCUAGGCCUCAUCUGCAGAGAUGGUGUCAACACUGUCACUGUGCCCGGCCCUGCUUCAGAAGAGGCAGUUGAAGACUGUAAAGAUGAAGAUUCUGCAAAGGAUGACAGUAUUACAAAAGGCGGUGAAGUGACAGAUCAUUCUGUGCAUGACCAAGAUCAUCCCGAUGGACAAGAGAAUGAUUCAACGAAGAAUGAAAUAAAAAUUGAAACAGAAUCGCAGAGCUCAUAUAUGGAAACAGAAGAACUUUCAUCAAACCAAGAAGAUGCCGUGAUUGUGGAGCAACCAGAAGUGAUUCCAUUAACAGAUGACCAAGAAGAAAAAGAAGGUGAAAAAGCUCCAGGCGAGGACACACCUAGGAUGCCUGGGAAAAGUGAAGGCUCCAGUGACCUAGAAAACACUCCAGGUCCUGAUGUUGAAAUGAAUAGUCAGGUUGA
rnacentral:sRNA from 1 species